AUGUGGUGUUUGAUGUGGUGUUGGACCUGGUGGUGAAUGUGGUGUUGGAUGUGGUGGUAUAUGUGGUCUUGGAUGUGGUGGUGUAUGAGGUGUUGGAUGUGGUGGUAUAUGCGGUGUUGGACCUGGUGGUGUAUGAGGUGUUGGAUUUGGUCGUGGACCUGGUGGUGUAUGUGGUGUAUGUGGUGUUGCACGUAGUGGUGUAUGAGGUGUUGGAUGUGGUGUUGGAUGUGGUGGUGGAUGUGGUGGUGGACCUGGUGUUGGAUGUGGUGGUGAACUUGGUGGUGGGCAUGGUGGUGGACGUGGUGUUGUAAAUGCUGGUGUAUGUGCUGUUGGAUGUGGUGGUGAAUGAGGUGUUGGACCUGGUGGUGUAUGUGGUGUUGGACCUGAUGGUGUAUGUGGUGUUGGACGCGGUAGUAUAUUUUGUGUUGGACCUGGUGGUGUAUGUGGUGUUGGACCUGGUGGUGUAUGAGAUGUUGGAUGUGGUGUUGGACCUGGUGGUGUAUGUGGUGUUGGAUGUGGUCGUGGACCUGGUGGUGUAUGAGGUGUUGGAUGUGGUCGUGGACCUGGUGGUGUAUGUGGUGUUGGACGUAGAGGUGUAAGAGGUGUUUGAUGUGGUGGUGGAUGUGGUGGUGGACCUGAUGUUGGAUGUGGUGUUGAACAUUGUGGUGGGCGUGGUGGUGCACGCGGUGUUGGACCUGGUGUUGAACAUUGUGGUGGGCGUGGUGGUGCACGUGGUGUUGGACCUGGUGUUGUAUGAGGUGAUGGAUGUGGUGUUGGACCUGGUGGGGUAUUUAGUGUUGAAUGUGGUAGUGUAUGUGCUGUUGACCUGGGGUUGGAUGUGGUGUUUGACCUGGUGGUGUAUGUCGUGUUGGAUGUGGUGGUGUAUGUGGUGUGGGAGGUGAUGUUGUAUGUGGUGUUUGGGACCUGGUGUUCUAUGUGGUGAUGUAUGGGGAGUUGGAUGUGGUGUUGGAUGUGGUGUUGGCCCUGGUGGUCUAUCGGUUACUGGAUGUGG
ensembl:lncRNA